rnacentral:rRNA from 1 species
UGGGCAACCUGCCCCUCUCUCUGGGAUAACCCCCGGGGAAACCGGAGCUAAUACCGGAUACUCCGGCUGGAUCGCAUGGUCCGGCCGGGAAAGGUCCGCCGGAGAGGGAUGGGCCCGCGGCCUAUCAGCUUGUUGGUGGGGUCAUGGCUCACCAAGGCGACGACGGGUAGCUGGUCUGAGAGGACGACCAGCCACACUGGAACUGAGAUACGGCCCAGACUCCGUACGGGAGCA